rnacentral:rRNA from 1 species
GGUUGAUCCUGCCAGUAGUCAUAUGCUUGUCUCAAAGAUUAAGCCAUGCACGUCUAAGUAUAAACGAGAUUAUAUAGUGAGACUGCGGAUGGCUCAUUAAAUCAGUUAUAGUUUAUUUGAUGGUUCCUCUCACCACUUGGAUAACCGUGGUAAUCCUAGAGCUAAUACAUGCAUCACACCCUGACUCGAGGCCUGGGGCGGUCCUUUACCAAGGGAUCGUUCCAGUCACCUUGGGAAAGGGCGUAUUUAUUAGGUACAAAAACCGGCACAGGUAGGGGCAACUCUGCCUGAU